GACAGAGGGUGCAAACGUUGUUCGGAAUUACUGGGCGUAAAGCGCGUGUAGGCGGCCCUGCAAGUCGGAUGUGAAAUCCCACGGCUCAACCGUGGAAGUGCAUUCGAAACUGCAGGGCUAGAGUCCUGGAGAGGAAGGUGGAAUGCUUGGUGUAGAGGUGAAAUUCGUAGAUAUCAAGCGGAACACCGGUGGCGAAGGCGGCCUUCUGGACAGUGACUGACGCGGAGACGCGAAAGCGUGGGGAGCAAACAGG
rnacentral:rRNA from 1 species